AAGCGCACGCAGGCGGUUUGUUAAGUCAGAUGUGAAAUCCCCGCGGCUCAACGUGGGAACUGCAUUUGAAACUGGCAAGCUAGAGUCUUGUAGAGGGGGGUAGAAUUCCAGGUGUAGCGGUGAAAUGCGUAGAGAUCUGGAGGAAUACCGGUGGCGAAGGCGGCCCCCUGGACAAAGACUGACGCUCAGGUGCGAAAGCGUGGGGAGCAAACAGGAUUAGAUACCCUGGUAGUCCACGCUGUAAACGAUGUCGACUUGGAGGUUGUGCCCUUGAGGCGUGGCUUCCGGAGCUAACGCGUUAAGUCGACCGCCUGGGGAGUACGGCCGCAAGGUUAAAACUCAAAUGAAUUGACGGGGGCCCGCACAAGCGGUGGAGCAUGUGGUUUAAUUCGAUGCAACGCGAAGAACCUUACCUACUCUUGACAUCCACAGAAUUUGGCAGAGAUGCCUUAGUGCCUUCGGGAACUCUGAGACAGGUGCUGCAUGGCUGUCGUCAGCUCGUGUUGUGAAAUGUUGGGUUAAGUCCCGCAACGAGCGCAACCCUUAUCCUUUGUUGCCAGCACGUAAUG
rnacentral:rRNA from 1 species